UUAGAGGAGCGGAGGUGGUACAUCCAUUGCCGAUCAAUCUGCAUCGUAUUACGUGAAAAAUGAACAUAGUGCUUCGUAUUAGAUAAAGAACUUGAUCAAUAUUAGGUAGGGGAAAAGAGUAAAUGUGUUUAUAAUAUUUAGUACUUGCAAUAAACAUGAGGUAAAUAAACUACUGUUCAAAGAAAUAGAAUUAUUGUUAAAUUAGAGUGGUAUGAAAAUUAUACCAGUCAACCUUCAUUUCAUCCACUAGUUCGACACAAAUAAAAAUGCUAGAACUCUUGAAGAAGACAACAAAUAUACACUAAAGACUACAGACGCUC
rnacentral:lncRNA from 1 species